rnacentral:rRNA from 1 species
CGGUAAUACGGGGGAUGCAAGCGUUGUUCGGAAUUAUUGGGCGUAAAGAGCGUGUAGGCGGCCGGAUGUGUCAGAUGUGAAAGCCCUGGGCUUAACUCAGGAAGUGCAUUUGAAACUGUCCGGCUUGAGUAGGGGAGAGGGAAGUGGAAUUCCUGGUGUAGAGGCGAAAUUCGUAGAUAUCAGGAGGAACACCGGUGGCGAAGGCGACUUCCUGGCCCUAUACUGACGCUGAGACGCGAGAGCGUGGGUAGCAAACAGGAUUAGAUACCCUGGUAGUCCACGUCGUAAACGAUGUUCACUAGGUGUUGGGGGUAUUGACCCCCUCAGUGCCGGAGCUAACGCAUUAAGUGAACCGCCUGGGGAGUACGGUCGCAAGACUAAA